GCGUGUUCUACCUUGAUGGCGAAAGUGAGGUGAUCCAUCUCCCAUUUCUUUCAGCCAAACCACUCAAAUAUAGAUAUUCUUAGAUUUUCUGAGACUACUGUCAAAAUGGAAGUGAAAAUGGUCAUAGAGCAUGUUUGCAUAGAGGCUUCGAUGAGGCCAAAACUUGAUCUUCUAUAUAUGCCUGCAUCACUGGAAAAUCAGUUUGAGCAUAUAUUGUCUUUGGUGCAGAUAUUAGCAGGAAAUGCUCGAAAAGUAAGUGCCGUUCGAUUUGAACGAGUAAACAAUGAGGAAGCACUAUUAGAUGCCAUGACAGUAACGCCGAUGGUACCAAAAAUCAUGAAGAAAUGGAGCAAGGAUGAAGACUCAAAUAAUGGUAAACACAAUGAAGAUACAUUUGAAAACAAGCAAGAGGAUAACCUCUUGGACGAUCAUUAUGUAAUUGCUGAUCACAAAGAGGAUAAUGAGAGCUCCAAUGGACAGUAAUCAUAUUAUACUAAUUGUUUUUUCUUUUCAUUUUUUUUUUCCCUUUUUUCUCAUUUGUGAUUUCCCCCAUGGACACCCCAUUUCUAAUUCUUACAGCUCCAUACGAAGAGGCAACAGACUUGUAAAACGGAACUAUGAAACAAAAAGAAUAUAUGAAUAGACCAACAUUGUACAAAAUUUUCACAGAUGAAAGUGCCAAUGGCUUUGAGGAGAAUGGCCUAUUUUUACUUCGAUGAAAUUGUUGAAUUUUUCACUAAUCUCUAGUGGGCUCUGCUUGAUUGAUAUUCAUCUGUCUCAUAGAACUAACUGUCUGAUUAUCUGAAGCACCUCGGAUUCUACCGAGUCUGUUCUGCAUGCUCCGAAAUGAAGGAUGGUCAACUACUUGAGAUAUUGUCUCAUGCUGCAGUGGAUCAUCAAAGAAAUUGAUAAGUGCCUCUGCAGCAUUAUCUUUCAGCUCCUCUGAAUCAUCAUGUAACAAAUCAAGCAGAAGAGGGACAGCCCCCGAUUCGUUUAACGCCUCUCGAUCUGCUUGACUAUAGCUCAACUGAGCAAUAGCUCCGGAUACUGUUUCUCUUACUUCGCUGCUCUGAGAGCUCAAAAGCUCAACCAAAAGGGGAAUUGCACCCGAGUUUCGGAUGACAGGUACUGUGUGCUUGUAACCUGAAAGAUCCCAGAAAACAUUAGCAGCUGCAGCUUUUGAUUCAGCAUUGCCUUCCCUAAGGAUUCUCACCAAAUGUUCAGCUAUUACAACUGCAUUUGCUUCUCCAACAGCUAAUAGACAGAAUGCAUCCUCCGCGAUCUCCUGACCGACUGAUUCGGAUCCUUGAAUAAGCUCGGCAAACAACGGAAUAGCCCCAGAUUGAGCAACCAAGUCAAUGUAAUCAAUAUUAGCCAAAAUCACACCAAGGGUAUUGCCAGCCACAACUUUUAAAGCACCGUCUCCAACUCGAAGCAGCUCCAUGAGAACAUCUAUAACACCCAAAUCAACAAGCAUACGACGAACACGCCUCGUAAUACCAAGUAACCCGAUCGCUUGACAAGCUCUUUCCCUAGAUAACAUGUUACCAACCCUAGCUGCCUCAACAAGAAAUCUAAGUCCGCCUAAACUAACAAGUCCUCUCCUUACAACUCUCACCAAUGACAAUGCACUCAAAAUCUCUAACAAGUACCUUCUAACACCAUCCAUGGAUGAACUCAACAUGUUCACAAUAAUCUCCAAACCACCAUUCAUGGCAACAAUGAGGCGAUUUUCAUUACAUAAAUUCACAAGGCACCAAAUACAUUUCAGACAAAUUUUUUGAACACUAGCAUUAGAUUGUGGCAAAAACCUUAAUAUGGAACAUAGAGCACCAGAUUGGCCUAUCUCAGUUGCUAAUCUACCAUCAUCUCCUUGCCGAGCAAUACAUUUUAAGCAAUGAAUAACCAGUCCUUGAAGAGGACUCGAAUUAUUUGAACUAUCAUCAGCUAUAAGAUUACUAAGAAUCGGUAUUGUUUGACUCAGUAUAUACUCUGGGGCUUGAUUUGAUAGUUUAGACAAUUUGAUCACAGCUUUUAUACGCAUGGACUCAGUCCCAGAAUCAAUCAUUCGUUCAAAGUGAUUCAAUGAUUCUUCCCAAUUUGGGUUCAUUUUUUUCCUGGAUUCUUUGUAUCAAAAUCACCAAAGUUGGCUAAAAAAAUUCAGAUGUUGAAAAUUCAAGAAGGGUUUUUUGGGGGUAUAUAACAAAACCAAUUCAACAUAGGAAAGAAUCCAAAUUUGAUGAUUAGAAGGAAGGGGGACAAGCGUAUAAAAUUAUAUACAGACAAAACAUUAAGGAAAACAUGUUUAAAAGGGGAGGAGAAAAGCAGAAAAGUACCCUUUCAGAACAGAUGAUGAAAAUUUGAAGGUUUGGGAAGACAGCCGCCUCUAGAUUUGUUUAUACGAGCUUCAGCUAUGUCGAUACGAGGCAACCAUUUUCAUAGUUCGUGAAUUGUCUUUUUCGUCUUUCUUUUUCCCUUUCUUUUUUUUUUACCCGAGUUGAGAUUUGUUAGUAAAAUUGAAGGUGUUUAC
rnacentral:lncRNA from 1 species